UACGUAGGGUGCGAGCGUUGUCCGGAAUUAUUGGGCGUAAAGGGCUCGUAGGCGGUUUGUCGCGUCGGGAGUGAAAACCUUGGGCUUAACUCAGGGCUUGCUUUCGAUACGGGCAGACUAGAGGUAUGCAGGGGGAGAACGGAAUUCCUGGUGUAGCGGUGAAAUGCGCAGAUAUCAGGAGGAACACCGGUGGCGAAGGCGGUUCUUUGGGCCGUAACUGACGCUGAGGAGCGAAAGCGUGGGGAGCGAACAGG
rnacentral:rRNA from 1 species